rnacentral:rRNA from 1 species
GACGAACGCUGGCGGCGUGCUUAACACAUGCAAGUCGAACGGAAAGGCCCUGCUUUUGUGGGGUGCUCGAGUGGCGAACGGGUGAGUAACACGUGAGUAACCUGCCCUUGACUUUGGGAUAACUUCAGGAAACUGGGGCUAAUACCGGAUAGGAGCUCCUGCUGCAUGGUGGGGGUUGGAAAGUUUCGGCGGUUGGGGAUGGACUCGCGGCUUAUCAGCUUGUUGGUGGGGUAGUGGCUUACCAAGGCUUUGACGGGUAGCCGGCCUGAGAGGGUGACCGGCCACAUUGGGACUGAGAUACGGCCCAGACUCCUACGGGAGGCAGCAGUGGGGAAUAUUGCACAAUGGGCGGAAGCCUGAUGCAGCAACGCCGCGUGCGGGAUGACGGCCUUCGGGUUGUAAACCGCUUUCGCCUGUGACGAAGCGUGAGUGACGGUAAUGGGUAAAGAAGCACCGGCAAACUACGCG